rnacentral:rRNA from 1 species
AUUGAACGCUGGCGGCAUGCCUUACACAUGCAAGUCGAGCGCGAAAGGGGGCAACCCCGAGUAGAGCGGCGGACGGGUGAGUAACGCAUCGGAACGUGCCCAGUAGUGGGGGACAACCUCGAGAAAUCGAGGCUAAUACCGCAUACGACCCACGGGUGAAAGCGGGGGACCGCAAGGCCUCGCGCUAUUGGAGCGGCCGAUGUCCGAUUAGCUAGUUGGCGGGGUAAGAGCCCACCAAGGCGACGAUCGGUAGCUGGUCUGAGAGGGCGACCGGCCACACUGGGACUGAGACACGGCCCAGACUCCUACGGGAGGCAGCAGUGGGGAAUCUUGCGCAAUGGGCGAAAGCCUGACGCAGCGACGCCGCGUGAGGGAUGACGGCCU